AAAAUAGUUUGCAUAUUUCAUCAUUUGUUUUUUCAAAAAGAGACAAAAGAAAAUGUUUUCUUUAAAAAUUAGAUGUUGUUUUUUAUUUUUUGCCCGUAUCCAAGUAACCCGAAUUACGCGAACCUGAUUCUCGUCUUUCGAGACGUGAUACGUAGGCAACAAACAUAUGGUUUGAUUGUCCUUGUAAUUCUUAGAUUCUUGGCUUUGCGGGGUUAUAGCCAGACUUUGCAGUUCUAGCUACUUUUAGCCAUAUAGGUUAGUUUUAGAAUUCAGAAGUUGCUUGUUGGAACAUGUGUGAAUUGAGUUAUGUCAAUGGACUCUACUAUUGAAAUUCUUCGAGUUCAAGUUGGAAUUCUCUUGUCAAACUUUUUUUAUGCUGGUGAAAGUUCUACUGAGAUCAGUCUUUGUUUGUUGGGGCGUUGUUUUGUGAUUUUAAUUCAAUCAAUGAGUUGUUGGUGGGGCCAUGUCUGUAUGUAAAUCAUGCAUUGUACACCAGUUAUCUUUGUGCUAUGAGUGCGGAGUUUUGAAGCUUGUCUUGUUGAAUUUUACCACUUUUGUGAAGUUUUUGGAGUAAAUUGAUAGCUGAAAUUCUCCUAGUUUGAACUUGUUAUCAUUGGCUUUUAAUAGUUGUUGUUAUUGUUGAGUUUAAUAGAGGGUAUUCAGUUGGACUAAAGUUUGAGCAUGCUUGAAUUGUGAUUUGGUUGAGCAUACAUUAAGCUUACUCUGCCGAAAUUUUAUGUCCGUUGAGAUUUAUGCGCGAGUUUAGCGGUGAUAGUUUGAAAUAUGGUUUUUACUUCUAAAAAGUGUCCGUUGAGAUUUAUGCGCGAGUUUAGGAGCAUGCUUGAAUUGUGAUUUGGUUGAGCAUACAUUAAGCUUACUCUGCCGAAAUUUUAUGUCCGUUGAGAUUUAUGCGCGAGUUUAGUAGAGAUAGUUUGAAAUAUGGUUUUCUUCUAAAAAGUUCUCUUUGUUGAAUUAAGUGCUUUUGUUACAUAACUUUGUGGUUAUUCUGACUCAAUAUUGUUGUGAUUCUAAUGUUUUGUUUCUACAGUUGAGGUCGUCAUUCUGGGCUGAAAAUUUAUGUGCCUAUUGCUGCUAAAUUUAAUGCUCAAUGUGUUGCUGAAGUUUGAAUUUUGAGAAGCAAUUGAAUAGCGAAUCUGUCAGCUUAUUUGAAUUCUAGAAUUUUGCACUUAAAUGAAAGUUGUUGAUGUAAUACGCAUUAUUUGUAUUUUUUACAACUUUUGGUAAAUCUGAAACUGGGUGUGGAGAUUAGAACUUGUUUGAAGAAUUUUGAGUAGUGGAGAUUAGAACUUGUUUGAAGAAUUUUGAACUCAAAUAAGAGUGUUUUAGAUUAUUAUUGAAGGUUGUUACCUUGGAAAUUUUUUACUUUUUGCACUAGUUGUGCAGUGAGUGCAAGUUGAUUUUUCUGCACAUUUGAGUUCAGUUGAUUACAAAUGUUUUGGUUAUGUUAUCAGGGAAUUACAAGCUGAAAAAUAUUGCUUAAAGUUACUUUGUUUGUUGAUGCUAGUUUAGUUUGGUGUUAGUUGG
rnacentral:lncRNA from 1 species